rnacentral:rRNA from 1 species
AUUGAACGCUGGCGGCAGGCCUAACACAUGCAAGUCGAACGAGUGGCGGACGGGUGAGUAAUGUCUGGGAAACUGCCUGAUGGAGGGGGAUAACUACUGGAAACGGUAGGUAAUCCCGCAUACCAUCGGAUGUUCACAGCUGGGAUUAGCUAGUAGGUGGGGUAAAGGCUCACCUAGGCGACGAUCCCUAGCUGGUCUGCGAGGAUGAACAGCCCCACUGGAACUGAGACACGGUCCAGACUCCUACGGGAGGCAGCAGUGGGGAAUAUUGCACAAUUGGCGCAAGCCUGAUGCAGCCAUGCCGCGUGUAUGAAGAAGGCCUUCGGGUUGUAAAGUACUUUCAGCGGGGAGGCGUUACCCGCAGAAGAAGCACCGGCUAACUCCGUGCCAGCAGCCGCGGUAAUUC